UGAAAUGAAGGUUAGUCUCUUCUCUCAUUUUCUCUCUCUAGAAUUCUAGGGGUUUCCACUUUUUCUCUGAUUUGCUUCUACAUUCAUGCAUGUUUACAUGGUAUCAUAGCAAAGAUACCGAUAGAUCUGCUCUUCCUAUUUUGAAUGGUGAUACCCUUGAAGGUUUUCAUUGAUAUUUUGGUGCCCAAAGUUGCUCGUUGAGUGUUUUUUUGUGAAGUUUUUGAUGUUUUUCUUUAGGCAUUGCUGUUUCGUUUACCUCAUUCGUGAUCGUUUAUGAGGAUUUCGGUAAUUUUUCAAAGAUUUUUUAUUACUUUGACCGUGACUAUUUCUUACAUUAUUGAAUAAGGCUUUUACUUCUUCGAGUUAUGAAGAAGGCUGAUAAUAUCUUUCUUGCUGAUUAUCCUUAUCCUAUUUAUUUUGCGAGUUCAGGCGUUGCUUGAACUUCUUUGAUUGUUGUUCUGUUUAUACUCUAUUUGAGAUAUUGUGAAGUGGUUUGAGUGGCCAAUUAGCUCCUACUCAACUCCUUUAUCUUCAUCCCUCUGACUAUCUUGGUAUGAUUUUGGUUACCAAGCCUUUCAUUGGUACUGGUUAUGGCAGAUGAAGGAGAGAGAUGUUUAUCUAUUUGUCCAUUAAAUGCAAAAUAUGGUUUAUAGAUUGUAAGCAAGUAAACCGCCUGCAACUGAUGCUUUAUAUGAUACUUGAAUUAUAUUUAAGGACAUGGUAAUUAUGUGGGUUCUGAAUGGUCUCCAUAAGAAAAUUGAUGAAACUGUUAUUCACACUGAAACUACUAAAUAAAUCUCAACCUAGUGGAACUAAAGUUUUUAGUUUUGGAAAAAUAUUUUUUUCAUUUCUUAGGGAUCCUCUAGCAUAGUUUCUUGUUUUAAUCGUAUUAAGAAGAUAUGGGAUGAGUUAACUGUAUCUGUUACUUAUCCUCUAUGUACUUGUAAUUGUAAAGAUGCUUGGUCUAGGUUAGAAUGGAAACAGAGGGUUCACCAAAUUUUGGUUGGUUUAAAUGAGUCUUAUGGUGAAAUUAGGAGAAAUAUCUUAAUGACUAAGCCUCUUACAGACUUAGACAAUAUGUAUUCCAUGUUGAUUCAUGAUGAAAAACAGUCUGAGCUUCAAUUUUCUCUUUCUUUUUUUUACAUCUACAUUUAUUUUUUUCUGUCACUGGAGCUGGUAAUCAUAAACCAUUUCCCUCAAAGGUGAACUUUGAUAAUAGGUAAAGGAUGAAUUUUGACAAUAGAAAAUCCAUUAUGAACUUUGCUAAUCAAUUUCUAGUAGAAUGAAGGCCAAGGUGGUCAGGGUCUAAAUUGUAAAUAUUAUAAAAAAUUAGGGCAUUUUGUACCCAAAUGUCACAGGCUCUUUGGAUAUCCUCCCAAAUAUCAACUCUCAAAGGACAAAAAGACUGCUGUCUGUGUUCAGUUUAUUGACUCUUUUACUCAACCUGAACAUGUUCCUGCAUACUCAACACCUUCUACUUCUUAACCAGUCUCUUCCACAGAUGAUCUCCACGACAUUACCGUUCUCUUACUACUAUUCAACAUAAUAGGUUACAUGUGUGCUUCUGCCACCUUUGCAGGUGUGACUAGUUUAUCUGAUUUUAAUAAGUGUUGCUUCUGUUCUUAUCAUCUUUCUUAGAUGUAUGAAAACCCUAGGGUUUUAUAUUUCAGAGACAGAAACCACAUGAAAACUCAUAAACAUCUUUUAAUCAACAUAAAGCCUUUGGUUUUUCCCUGCUUAAUAUCUGCCCCUAAUGGAUACAAAGUUAAAGUAACUUGCACUAGUUACUUACCUUUGCAUUCUGAUUUAAUUUUGCAUCAUGACUUAUUAGUUCAUAGUUUUAAAUAUAAUCUCAUCUCCUUACACAAACUUCCACUUCAAUUUAAUUUCAUAACUCAUUUCAUUUCUACUUCUUGUGUCUUACAAGGCUAUUCACUGAAUAGGCCACUAGAAGUUAGUAAACUAUCCAGUGGACUUUGUGUUCCUCAGUUGAAUGGUUCCAACAUCUCCCCAACUCCAUCAUCCUAACUUUCAGCAAAUUUUGUUUCUGCUGCCAACAUUGACUCUUUGGCUACAAAUUUUUCUUUUCCUUCCUUGUUUGCAAGUUCUGAUGUAACUAAACCUAGUUAUAUUUAUUUCUACUAGUAAUUUCAGUUCUACUGUCUCUAAUAAUGCAGAAUUCUUAUCUGUUCCUCAUCAAAUAAAUUUACUUCCUUUAUUUCAAAUUCUUCACUUGUUAAUAAUGCUAAUGUUCCCGUUGCUGAUGCUUUUAUAAACUCAGCUGCUUUUACUAAUAAUUUGGGUCGUGACUUAGCUUGGCAUGAUGAAUUAGGUUAUAUGUAUUUUGCAAAAAUAAAGUCCAUUCUAAUUCUUAAGUCUGUCUUACUUCCCAAGCAAACAUUUCAUUAUUCUAUAAGCCCAAUGGCUAGACACCAGAAAUUACCUUUUUGGGGAGUUCUCUUCACUUCACCAAGCCUUUUCAAUUAAUUCAUCUUGACUUAUAGAUCAUACCCAAACUUAUAAUGGGUUCAAGUACUUUCUCACUACCGUGGAUGAUUACACUAGAUGUAUUCGGACUCACCUGUUAUCCAGUAAAUCAAAUGCCUUCAAAAUCAGUUUCAUGUCAACAUUCAAAGCAUCCGGUUAGAUAAUGCUUUUGAACUAGGAUAUAACAUUAAAGCAAUUUAUUUUUUCUCCUCUCAUGAAAUUUUUCAUCAAACUUCAUGUACUCACACUCCACAAAAAAUGGGGUGGUGGACAGGAAACAUAAAUAUUUACUAAAAACUUCUGGGGUUUUACUUUUUUCAGUCCAAACUCCUAGUUAAAUGUUGGGGUGAAAGUGUCUUCACAAUUGUUUUUUUUGAUUAAUAGGUUUCCUUCUCUUCUUUUACACAACGAAAUUCUUUUUGAAAUUCUCUAUGGGUUUUCCCCUCUUAUUCCCAACUUAAAGCUUUUGGUUGUUUGUGUUAUGCUUCUGUUCCUUUACCUCAAAGGGACAAAUUUCAGUCAAGAUACCUUUCUUCUAUUUUCCUUGGUUAUUAUGUUGGUAAGAAAGAUUAUAAAUUAUUCUCUCUUAUUCUAACAAGUUAUUUUUCUCCAAGGGUGUUCUUUUUCAUGAGUUUACUUUUCCUUAUGCUUAUCCUCCAUCUGCUCCCUUGUUUUUCUCUUCUCCAUUUUUUUUCAUCUGAUUUUGUUCUUGUUGUUUCACCACCUUCUUCAGUACCUCAUUAGUCUAGGGAAUCUUCCAAAUCUGUCUUUACCUCUGCAUAUUUUCAAGACUAUGUUUAAUUUUCUAUUUCUAAUCCCAAGGCUUGUGCUUCUGUUGAAAAUGGCUUGCUAAAGCCACAAUUUUAUCAUCAGCUAGAUUGUUACCCUGCUUGGCAAGAGGCUAUGCUAAUUUGAAGGCCAACUAUACUUAGGACAUUGUCCCUUUGCCUCCUAGUAAGACGACAAUCUCUUCUGAAUGGGGUUAUAAAAUCAAUCAAUGGGCUAAUGGGUCUAUAAAGAGGUAUAAAGCUUGAUUGGUGAUUAUUGGGUACAUUGAGGGGGGUGAUUAUAAUAAACUUUCUCCUCCGUUGUCAAAAUAUCCACCCACCAUUAAAAGUAUUCUGGCUUUGGCAUUCAAUUGGAAAAUCUUCAAACUUGAUAUUAAUAAUGCAUUCCUCCAUGAGAUCUUUUAGAAAAGGUGUAUAUAAAGAUUCCCAAGGUUUGGAGGUUCCUAAAUUUGAUUCCUCUUCUGUCCCUUUUUUUUAAAACUAUCAAAUCUUUAUAUGGGCUAAAAUAAGAUUCAAAACAGAGAUAUGUCAAACUAUUUGAAGCUUUUCAGCCCAAGGGGUUUAUUAUUAGUUUCAAUGACUACUCUCUUUUCACCAAAAAUUCUAAAUCUUCUAUCACUAUAGUGGUUGUGUACAACUAAUGUUUUUUGCUUAUUGGCAUUGAUACAGUCCAUAUUUUCUCUCUUAAAAAGUUUUUUGAUGACAGUUUAAGAUUAAAGAUCUGGGUGAAACCCAUUAUUUUCUUGGUUUAGAGAUCAUUUGCCAGCCUUUUGGAUUGCUUGUGACACAAUAUAACUUUACUUCAGAUCUUCUCUCUGAAUUUAAUUAUACUGAUGUUUCUCCUGUGGUGAGUCCUAUCGAAUUGUAUGGAAAAUUGUCUAUUGAUGUUGGAAGUUCUUUUCCUGAUCCAAGCUUGUACAAAAAAUUAGUUGGGAAUUUAAAUUAUUUGCAGCAUACCCGACCAAAAAUUUCUUUUGCGGUUCAACAUCUCAUGUAAUUCCUUCAUUGUCCUCGUAUACCUCAUUUAAAGGCGGUUUUCAUGUGUUGUGCUAGCUUGCUGGUUUUUCUAACUUAGGCAUCCUUUUGAGUAACUCUGAUGAUCUUUCUCUUACUGUUUUUGUGACUUUGAACGAGCUGAGUGUGUUCAAGACGUCCCAUCACUGAUUUUUAAAUUUUAUUCGAUGGUUCUCCAGUAACUUGGAAGUAUAAAAAGCAGCCUAUAAUAGCUCUCUUAUCAGCAGCAACACCUAAAACACCAAAAACAAAGCCCCAAGCCAAUAACAUGCACAUAGAAACUACCCGGCCUAGCAGCUAGAAUACACACCACAAAAAUUACCAAUAAGCACCACAACCAGUCCAUAAUGUAUUCACAGGAAGCCGAAACUAAGAAUAGGCAGACACAAUAAACAAGCUACAAGAAAUAGACAGGAGACAAAUAAGAAACCAGAAACAAGAGCAAAAACAAGGACAAUCAAGAUGGAAACAAGCAACAAACUAAACAAACUAAACAACAAAAUAAACAAAAAAGUUCAACAAAACCAAAACUGAAAAGAAGUGGCUAAAUAUUAAAGUAAAGAUGUCACCGGUAUGCCUGUGUGCUGCUGGUUAAGAUGAUAUCUAUGUCGGAAUUAGCUGCCGGAGCGUCGUCGGAAUUCCACCAGCGAGUCUGGUUCUUGCUGAAAUCUGGUCGUCGGCGUCUUUGUACCCACUUGCUUUGACCGGUGCUACCCUCUUACACUUCGCUGCAGCUGAGGAGUCGAGCCGGCGGGAGCCCUAGUCCCACCGGUGAUAGUAGUGAUGGGGAGAGAAAGGGANNNNNNNNNNNNNNNNNNNNNNNNNNNNNNNNNNNAAAAUGAGGAGGGGGGUGUAACCGUACCUAUUUACGGCGUGCCUACGCCGUCUCCGGUGUCGGCCGGUCGGUGGUGGUCAGUGAACAUUAGGGCUAGUAGGGCCGUGAACGUUGGAGAGGGUCAGAGAACGUUUCGUAGAAAUAAGAAUCCACUCUCUUAAAACAUCCAAUAUCGCUAUACGUAUGAGAAUGAAUAAUAAAAAUAGUAUUAAUGCCAUUGUGUGCUCGUGUGGGGGUAUAUGCAUUGUUAUUGGUGGGUUGAGACAAUAAUUUCUAUGUGUGGCCCAUGUGAGGGUCUUAUAUAAUAUUAUUGGCUUUGCGCAUGCAUAUGAUUAUUUUCUUCUUAUAGAAUUGCUUAAGUUGGGAUCUUGUAACGACCAUCUUUUUGAUGAAAUAUGUGAAAUAUGUGUUUCUAUGUUAUUUCACUAUUUUACCUUUUUCUAUAGUUGCAUUAUGGUAUUUAUGGGGUGUGAGGGUGAUUGACACAGUUUUUGAUAUAUUUUGGUACCAUUUAUGUGAUAUUGUAGUUUUUGAUGGCUUCGAGAGCCUUAUUUUGGAUUUAUGUGGAUAUCUUUUGAUCCGCGCGAUGGAUGUUUGAACGGACUAAACCACCAACUCUGAAAUAUUAAUCGUAGGCUAGGUAGACCUUUGGUUCAGGUCCUGGUGCACCCGAGCUCAUUUCAAUCGAUAGGUCAGAAAGUUGGAAAAUUGAAAAUAUGGGUGUGGGACCCAUAUUUGGUCGAAACAACCUCGGAUGAAAAAUUAAACUUCGAAACAACCUCGGAUGGAAAAUAAAGAUUCUCCAGCAGAUCCUAAACGUCCAUUUUAGGAUGGUAACAUAUAUGGUGUAAUUUUAUGGCUUUUAUAGCUCAUUUUGACCCUCGAUUUAGAAAAUUGUGAUUUCAGAUUUCGAAAGUCAACAUUGUGAAAAUGAUAUUUUUUUGAAAAUAUGUUAUUACCAUUGAGUCCGGAGUAUCAAAUUUAGUAUGGUUUCAUAGUUCGUUUGCAUAUAUCAAACUCUGAACGAAUUUCGUACACCCCGUUGAAGUUCGUUUGGACAUGGGAAAAAAAUCUGCACUAUAUAUAACAGAUUUUUCUAUUAUAUAGCAAUUUUUUCCCUUUUUGACCCAUUUUGUCCAUUCUUUCAUCUAAUCUUUUGAGAGUUAAAUCUUAAAAUAGUGUGUAAUCUUAAAAGUGAAGCUUGUGGGAGUUUGGAUAGCUAGAUUAACACCUAUUUCUUGAUUUUAUUACAGAUUUAAGGUAAGAAUUCACCCUUUUCUUAGUAAUUUCUUGAUUAAUUUCUCAAAAGUCCAAAAAUCUCACAACUUGAUUUUAAACCCCAAUUUCACAUAUUUUCACUUUAAUAAUAUUUUUAUCUUAUAAUUACUAGUUUUUCAUCAAUUUAAUCUUCAAAACAACUCUGAUUCUUGAUUUUAACCUGAAUUUAAAAAAUUUACACAGUAAAGCUUAAAAAUAAUUUUUUUGAUUUGAACCUUAUUUUUACUCGAUUUAACUUGUGCUUUCAGUUGUAGGUUUCUAAAAAUAUGAGAAACACAUUUUUGAAGUAAAGUUAUGAUUUUAUCCUUUUUUUUUAAAAAUUCAUUUUGAGGGCCCGUUUUGACCUCAAACAAAAAAUAGUCAAUAUGAGUGUCGUUGGUUUUAUUUUGAUGUGUAGAUUCUAUAUUUGAUAUUUUUAGUGAGGUUCGGGAUUGUUCGUGAAAAGUAAGGUCAUGGGUUUGAAGUGUAGCGGAUCGAUUUCGGCAUUUGAGGCAGGUUAUGGCUUAACACUUUCAAAUUGGGCUGGGUAGUAAAUGAUGGUCCAAAAUACAUAUUAAUGGUGGGAAUUAAUCAUGAAAAAUUUCUAUCUAUGUGUUAUGCUUGUGUAGGGUCAUAUAUGUAAUGUAAUUAUUAAAAUUGAGAUAGUAUGUGAUAUGUGUGAUCGUGUGGGGUCCUAUGUGAUGUUGAUAGCCUUGAAUAUAUGUGAAUAAUUGUAUUGUAUUUUAAAAAUGUCUAAUGUGAUACCAUUGGUAUAUUGUGAUAUAUUCAUACUUGUUAUAUGAAACAUGUGGAAAUUCAUGGAUGAAACAAAAAUAAUGAGUGAAUAUUGACUCACGUAGUUGUGGAAAUGUAUAAUUAUAAUUGGUUGUGGAAAUAUAUCAUUGUGAUUGUUUGUGAAAAUACUCAUUGUGAUUGGUUGUGAGCAUUAUAUCCUCUUAUCAUACUCCUUCAUGAAACAUUGGUACUAUCGUGACAACACCUUUUUAAAACCCUCCCUGAGCGAUGUGUCGAGGAUGAGAUCUGUAACACCUUGUAAAAUCCUUUUCGAGGGAUGUGUCAAAAAAGAGAUAUGAGAUAUGUGGAUUGUAUACGGGUUGACAAACCACCAUGGGUCCUACGUCGGGAAGCUUUAGCUUCAUAGGUGUAUAUGAUGAUUAUGCGAUGAACUCACGCAUCAUCAUUAUCAAAUACACUGCACUAACUUUAUUGUGUUAUGUUGUGUUGUAUUUCCAUAUUGUGUUAUUAUCUAUGUAUUUAUCGUAUCUUCUUUUACUUGUAUUUGAAGAUCUUGUAUGUACAUGUUCUCCUUAAACUUCUUAUAUAUGAUAUAAUGCGUACUUGUGUUCUAUUUCAGUGUGAUGUUGCAAUAUAUAUGAUGUAUAUUAGAACUAUUAGUGCAAGCGGUGUGGACUACCAUUGUGGGAUAUUUUCUGAUUACAGGUGACAUGCCCUUAGUGUAUAUUUUGUAUAUUUUAUUUAAUACUUUUCUUGGUUGGCCUAUGAUAUCUACUGAGUACAAGUGGACCGUACUAAUGCCUAUUGCACUCUUUUAGUGAAGGUCUUAGCUUGAGUGGGCCUCAACUUGCGUAACUUAGGCGAUUGUUGGAGCUUCCAAGAUAGCGGUUGGAUAUUCAUGCGUCUGAAGUUCACCUCUAUCUUUCUAUAGUAGUUUUUUCCUUAUUAGUAUUCAGAGACAGAUAUUAUUCCUUUGUGGUUAUUUUUCUAAUGUAUUUGACUCUUGGAUUGUAUUAUUAGUUUUUACACUAUUGACACCUAGUUUUGGGUAUGAUUGGUAUUUUGGAUGUGUCCUUUUCGCAUUAUUAUGAUUAUUUGUGUGGUUCGACUUCGUUCU
rnacentral:lncRNA from 1 species